UACGGGGGGAGCAAGCGUUGUUCGGAUUUACUGGGCGUAAAGGGCGCGUAGGCGGCGUGACAAGUCACUUGUGAAAUCUCCGGGCUUAACUCGGAACGGUCAAGUGAUACUGUCGUGCUAGAGUACAGAAGGGGCAACUGGAAUUCUCGGUGUAGCGGUGAAAUGCGUAGAUAUCAGGAAGAACACCGACGGCGAAGGCAGCUCGCUGGGACGGUACUGACGCUGAGGCGCGAAAGCUAGGGGAGCGAACAGG
rnacentral:rRNA from 1 species